UUUUUUUUUUUUCCUUUUUUCCUAUAUAUAACGGAAAUAUAGGUAAUAGAGCCCUUCAAAUCUUGUAAAUAAAGGCCGUUACGUUAGCAUUGUUAAAGGUGCUCUGAGGUGCCAGGCAAAGUGCUAGGCGAGGCGAGGUGACCAUUUAGCACCUCGCUUGGCUCCUUCUUGCCUUGGUUGCAUGAGGUGACUGCCUGGGAGUAAAAGGCGCAGGGCGCAAGGUGAGGGAGGCGACGCCUUUAUUGCAUAACGUUUACUUUUAAUUUUUUUUUUAAUUCCUUCUUUAAACCAGCAAAAGAGUUAAAAAAAAAAGGCUCUCAUUUUAGCCAGUGUUGCCCACAAC
rnacentral:misc_RNA from 1 species